AUCAAAAACAUGUCUUUUUGUUUUUAUUUAAAGUCAGGCCUGCUCAAUGAAUAAUUUAAAUGGCUGCAGAAUUUUUUACUGUACUAAGGUAGCAUAAUAAUUAGUUUAUUAAUUGUAAACUGGUAUGAAUGGUCUCAUAAAAAAUUGACUUUUUUAAUAAAAUUAAUAAAAUUUAAAUUUUAAAUAAAAAUGUUUAAAUUUAUUUAAGGGACGAGAAGACCCCAUAGAUUUUUAUAAUUUAAUUUUAUUCAUCAUUUGAUUUUUAAUUUGUUGAGAUUAAUUUAUUUAGAUGGGAUAUUUAAACAAUUAAAAAAUUUUUUUUAUUAGAAACACUCAUUUAUGAAUUUUUUAUUAAUUUAAUUAAUUAAAAUGAAAAUACCUUGGGGAUAACAGCAUAAUAAAUUAAGGAAGAUCACAUUUUUUAAUUGGUUUGUGACCUCGAUGUUG
rnacentral:rRNA from 1 species